CAGCGAGUUCCGCUUCCUCGGGCCGCUCUUGCCCUGCUUCCCCGCCGGGCUGCCGCAGGGCGCGGCCGAGCAGCGGAGCUCGCUCUGCUCGGCCGGCCUCGGGCAAGAAGAAGGCGACUGGGCUGUGCAGGGCCGAGCUCCCUUCUCUGAAGGCACGGCUCCCGGGGCAGCAGAGGAGAAUGCCAGUUUGGAUCAGUGCCCCUGGCUCAGCCAUCAGUAAGGGAGGAGAAGGAGCAGCAUCUCGGUCCCCGUGGGCUGAUGUCUUCGUAGUGAAAUGAAGGAGAGACCAAACACGCGCCAAAAAUGUACCAGGAAAAUGCUGUACUGCUGUGUGAGAGAGCAAGGACACUCCUGUUAACCAGUCCUCCAUGUAUUUAUUCUGAACCCUUAAUAGGUCUGCAGGGUGUUGCAUGCUGCAAACACUGAGCCUUGUUACCUAAUGAUUGUAGUGCUGUUGUUCCUAAGUAUUAAGUGAAUGGGAAUAAAAAGUUGGAUGGGGGCCUUGGGCAGCCUGGUCUAGUAUUAAAUGGGGAGGUUGGUGGCCAUGCCAGUUGCAGAGGUGUUGCAGAUUCAUGAUCCCUGAGGUCCCUUCCAACCUGGGCCAUUCUGUGAUUCUCUAAUAUUCAAGGUAUUGUUUUCCUACGUGUGUUUUUAUGCAUUGUUUUGUUGUUGUUGUUGUUGUCAGGUGGGCUCUGUAAUAUUGUAAUCUAUUCAAUGCCAGGUUGUGAAUCUAUUAACCAAACCUGAAUGUUUCCAGCAAAAUUAUUCUUGAAUAACACUGAGAAGCUGGCUGCCAUUGAGAUGCCUGACAUUCACACUGUGCACGUGCAAUGAGGAGUUCUUGGGUUUUGUAUGUUGUACCGGGUGGUCUUUGAGCACUGUAUUUGGUUUUGGAUUGGUUUGAUUUAUUUCCCAACAUAAAGUCAAAAUGAAUGGUUCUAGAGCAUUUCAGGAUUAUGGAAUAUAGAUAUGAAGAGAUAAUAAAAUCUUCAAAGCCAUGUGCUAUUUCCUAUUGCUCACAUAUUUCCUGGAGUUGAAUGCCUGGUCACAGAAACCAAUAAAAUCUGCUGAGAAAUCUGUCACAAAAUGAGCUGUUACAGCCUUCUCCACCUGAAGCUGAAGGAGAACGUGUCCCUGUGAAAUGAGGGCAGUGAUUUUGAGAAGUGUCUGGGGAAGGUCUUCUCAGCCUGGAUCUGUUCCCUGCCAUAGUGGUGCCAGUGGUCAGGUUAUAAUAAAAGAAGGGUACGGAUCCACCUUCCUCACUCUGUGGUCCCGAGGACAUAUCAGGAGCAGUGGUAGGAGCUUGAGGGAGCAGAUACCAGUUGGUACUGUAACUGUUGUGUGGCAUGAAUGAGGAGCUGCAUUCCCAAUUUCAUGUGCUGAUGAUGUCCUACAGCUGUUUUUUGUAAGAAGUCUCUGUGUUGCUGACUGUCCUGUUUUCCAUUGGAAUAGAGCUGACUUCCUUUGUACUGGCUGUUCUAAUGUUUAUUUUACUUUUAGAAGGACAACCACGUUUAGAACGGUGACUUUUGAGUUGUUGCUGAGUAGUGCUGCACAGUUCUGGGGACAUUUCAUCUUCUCUUACUGCCCUGAGAGCGAGUGGUGCCGAAGAAGCUGGGAGGGGGCAGAACCAGGACAGCUGCCCUAAACUGGCAAGAGGGAUAUUCUCUACCAUGUGACGUCACAGAGAAUUAUGAAUGUGAGGGUAUCUGAAUUGUGGGGUGCCACUGCUGCUUGUGAACUGACAGGGCAUUGGUCAGCAGGUGGUCAGCAGCAUCACUUCUUUGUUAUUUCUGUCUUCUGGUGGUUGUGCAUUUCUCCUUUUCUUUUUCUUCCUCACUAUCUCUUAUCUGUCCGUCAAUAUUUCUCUUAUUACCUCUGUUUCUCAGUAUCUCUCCCUCUAUCUGUACCUCUGUCUUUGUCUCAAUACUUCCACCUCUUCAUCCUUUUAUUUUUUCUUAUGAGUUCUUCUUGGUUUAUGUUUUCU
rnacentral:lncRNA from 1 species